AUGCUCAGGAUGAUCAGCAGGAAGAACACACUUAUGAGAGUUGGAUGCAACAGUUCCUUCUUCCUUCUUGUCCGCAUUAGCUGCACUUGUUGACGUAGUUGCGUCUGAAGUGUUCAAUUCUGAAUCAAUUUUGUAUACAUCGAAGUUCAAACUUGAAAUUCUAUCUUCAUUGACAUCAUGGUGAACUUUUUCAUCCACUGGAAUUUCCUCACGGUAGGUU
rnacentral:misc_RNA from 1 species